UCCACUAAAGACCAUAGAAACCCACUCCACUAAAGAUCAUUAGUUGUCAUUUAAAUAACAGCUUAAAGAGAUAAACCAGACUAGAUUGGAAUAAAAAUAAAAAGGAACUAAAAUAACAAUAAUGAAGGUCUGUUGGUUUACCAACAAAAAACCCAGCCGCCUGGCUGUUGGGUUUCUCAAUGGCAUAUGAAUUGAAAAUGAGAAAAUAUUUAUUAAACUUAGGAAGUUAAAAAUGAAAACUUAGGAAGUUUAAAAACAUAAAAUUUUUUAUGGUUUCAAUGCUUAUCUUUGUUUAAAAAUAAAUUAAAAAAAAGAAAAAGAAAUGGAAACAAAGAACAGACCAUCGUCUUCGUUCUCUCCCAAACGCGUACUCGCUCUCAAUCUCUCUUCUCUCAAUCUCUCGACGAAAUCACGAUAUCUCCAAACUUCACUCACUCCGACUCAGACACUCACUCAUCGCUCAACCUCAGUCGUCGCCUCCAACCUUCACUCUCUCCAUCCCUCAAACGCUCCUCACCUCACGUUUCUCUCAAUCUCUCAACGAAUCUCUCUCACACUCUCAAC
rnacentral:lncRNA from 1 species